AAAAAAGAAAUUAUAACGGCUUCUAACCGGUCCUAAGCUGGCAGGUCCAGCAACAAAUCAGCUAGCAGCUGGUCAAACUACCAUCUUAAAAUGGUAAAGAUGGCUUGUGGAAUAUGUAACUUAACAUGACCAACCAGCAACUGAUCAACUUAAAAACUACGUUAGGUAAUGCUACUAUGUGCCAAAACAUGGUCAUAGCAGCUGAAGGUGAUCACUAUGAUUUUUUGCAAAAUAGCAUAAGGUCUAUUAGCUAAUGUUUAUCGAUUUAACCGCGGCUCCUUAAUUAGUCGACUUCAAUUAACGUACGAGACCUGUUAUUUAUCCUUUAGAGUUGAACUCAGAUUUGGCGACACCGUUAGCCGCUAUAGCUAAAGCGUUCCGGGCGCUUUGGAUAGCGGGUAGCACUGGCGCAAUGUCAAACGCACGCUGUCGAAUCAAUGAAGGGGGAAAUCAUUUUAGAAGAUGAAAUGGCUGCAUGCGAGAUGGUUCAAAUCAGCUUGGAUGUCAAGCAAAAGGCGACGGGAGGACUAAUCAGAGAGGCGGCUAAAAUGGGCUCCCUCUCUUGCGCUAUUUAAGCUUCACCUAUCCUGAAUAUAUAAGGUUGUUUGGCAGUUUCUGAGGUGAUAAACAUCAGAUACAGGUAUCAUCUUGGCAUUUAAACUAGAUAGAACUAGAGUAAAAAUGGACUGCACAUGUUAGACAGCAGGGUAACAGGGUUGAGGGAAACUUUUAUUACGAACACUGGUAUAAUUAAAUUGCCAUGUUAUACAUGUACAGCAACUAACCGCUUUACAAAAAAGCAAGUAAUACAAUAUCACAUAUAUUUACACUUGUAUUUAUAUACCUUCCAAUUUUACAUAAACAUAUUUACAGGUGACAGAUACAUUGUUUACAGAUGACCAAUGCAAUUAAAAAUGUGGCAAUGCAUCAGACGAACACAUUUUGAAUUAUAUAAAAUAAACCACUUUUUAGUCUGUUUAUGAUGAGAACAUUACAUAUGCAAUUUAAAAUGCUUAGGGGCAUGUCGUGUGUCCUAUCCGCCUGACACGGCAGUCAAGACUGUGCCUUCAUUAUUGUCUUAAAGUUUUGACGCAUCAGAUCAAGUCAGUUUUAGAUUGGUAGUAGCAAUGCAACAUCAAAGAUUAAAGGAAAAGGAGUUAUAUUCUGGUUAUUAGUAAUGGAUGCAAAAAAAGAAAACAAAUCUUACAUUUCAAACGCUUGACUGGGUCAUUAUGUUCCUUCAUAUUUUCAAUUUAAGAACUGUAAAUUUGACAUGCCAUUACGACACCGAGAAGGAAUAAGCAUUUCAAGUUUGAUUUUUGAUCAAUGUAAUCUGAAAUCUGCUGUCGGGAUGACAUUUCACUGUAAAUACUAAGUGCCCUAAAAUGACCACAAGUCAGCAUGAACGUACAUUUUUGGAUCUGCAGUAUAGUACGUAGUAAAACAUACGAAAACGUAAAAUAAAUCUACAAACGAAAUGGGAAAAUGACAUUGAUUUGGUCCCAAUUUUAAGUGCGAAACACUUCUCAAUGCAAUCCUUUCAGAAACAUAAAAAUAAAUUUAUGCAUAAAUAUUCCGUCCUCAAACAUUUGGCAGGUACCCUUCUUUAGUAAUACAAGUUUCCCUUUAAUAAGCAUUUCAAAGAGACAAUGUACUUGAGUCUGUUACUAGGUACGCUACCGUUUCCUCCUUUGUAGAUUUGCAGAUUGGCAUAAUGACAGAAACGUAAUGCAGAAAACAUAUUGCACACAAAAAAAUAAAAUAAUCGCCCGCUUCAAAAUUUGAUGGCCAUCUUAUGUUAAAUACACAGUGAAGCCCUGAAAAUGGCAUGUUAAGUCAAACUUAAAUGGCACAAUUGUGUUAAAUUUUGCAAUUCACUAGUUAGGCGACGAGUGAGAAAACGAUUAAAUUAAACUGCAAAAACAAGGUUACAAAGCUAUUGAGAUCUGCAUGGAAGAAAUAAUUAAGGCAUACGACGUAGACGAGACAGACAUAAAAUAUACAAAAUGGAGUUCACAACAGUUUCCCCUCACAAUAUUGCAAACUAGUCUUUGGUGCAAUGUUACUAUGUCAGCUUGUGGUAGGAUUGGGAUUCCUGUGCCGUACGUGAGAUAUUAGUGAGACGGGAACAGGAAAAGGUAAAAGUGUGCAUGGAAAUUUCCUGAUCACACACCUAAAUCAUGUGCAACUUGUAUACACAUAGUGUUCAACGAAACAAAUAAAAAACAUAUUGCACCACAGUGAGACAAUGCUAAAACAUGUAUAUUAAUGCCAAUUCGUCGUGUUUGAUUUGUGCAUUUCGGGAACAAAAAAACAAAACAAAAAUAAACAUACUCAUCCGCUGCUCUUCUAGAAUUUUUUUUUUUUUUUUUUUUUUUUUUUGACUGAUGAUAACGAUCUCCAAGCAAACCUUCAUGUGAUCUCCGAAAACAUUAUCUACAUUUACAGAAUAAAUAUUUAGAUGCUGCAGUAUGAUAUUCUCGUAGUUGAUGGUCACAUGGUACAGUUUACACCGUAGCGACGUAUAGACAAUAUGGUAAAUGUUAAAGCCACGGUGUUUUCGUAAUUAGUACCUGUUUUCCCUUCCUUAGCAAGGUCUUGCCUAUUUUACAAACUAUACACAGCUGAAAACCCUGACAAAGGCACACAAUGGAUAAAAGAAGAACCCAAAACAUGUGAUCGUUAUUAUC